GGAUUGUUCUACGGGUUUCUUUUUCAAUCCUCAGAGUUGCAGUAAAGCAAUCAGAGAGAAGCAUAAGGAUAAAGAUCUAAAUACUACACAAUCAUAGUGUGACAGAACAUGAUUAUGAGGUUUUUGCAAUUUUAAAUUUAAAGUAGCAAUGGAUUCAUGAAAACAAAAUUAAAGGAAUAUUAUCUAUCAGCCGAUCGCAACAAUGCAAUGUGUUUUUCUCUAUUAAAUAUCCAAGAUUUAAAAAUGCAGUUUGAACAUUUUCGAUCCGAAAUGUGUGGACCGAGUGUGAUUUUGGAGUACAUGAUUUAGUUGAGUUGAAGUGAGAAAAAUUUUUUCGACAUAAAUAAUAAGAAUAUGAAUGCAGUUAAACGAUGUAAAUGUAUUUAUUUACUAUCUUUGGAAUGUUAUCACUGUUGGAUUAUCACUGUCAGACGUUAUUGACAUUUUUAACGAUACGUAAACAACACAACAGAAAGUAUGUAGACAGACACACUUCGCAUUUAUAAUGUUUGUUGAUUUAUUUAAUCACAGUUGCGCAUACUAUUCCGUUAUCUUUCACAGGACAAACAAUGAUCAUAGUCGUAUCACAGAGACAGCCGGAUGACCACGCGGUAACGCGUUGGCGUGCGCAUAGAAGAACCGGAUUCUCGUCUCAUCUACCGAAAAGUUUUCUUCGGGAUUCCAGGCCUGGCCCAACGAUCCCCGUCGUUCACCAUCCGGUUCCCCUCUACGGGCGUGGAUACAGUCCAUGUUUGAAACUGGCCUGGCCCCUUAAUAAUCUCACUGAUUGGAAAGGGGCAAAAAAUAGCAAAAUAAAAAAAAAUCCUAUAACAGAUUCCCUGACAUGAAAGUUACGGAUAUGGAAAUAUUUUGGAUUGGAGAUACUUGUACAGUACACUCUCGAGUAUCCGGUUCGCGACUAUCCGGC
rnacentral:lncRNA from 1 species